GAAAUCUGGUAGCCUCAGGCUGCCCGAGUUGUAAUCUAUAGAAACGUUUUCCGCGUUGGCCCAUGUACAAGUCUCCUGGAAUGGAGCGUCAUAGAGGGUGAGAAUCCCGUCCUUGACAUGGACUACCAAUGCUUUGUGAUACGUUUUCAAAGAGUCGAGUUGUUUGGGAAUGCAGCUCAAAAUGGGUGGUAAAUUCCAUCUAAAGCUAAAUAUUGGCGAGAGACCGAUAGCGAACAAGUACCGUGAGGGAAAGAUGAAAAGCACUUUGGAAAGAGAGUUAAACAGUAUGUGAAAUUGUUGAAAGGGAAACGAUUGAAGUCAGUCAUGUCUAUUGGACUCAGCCGGUUCUGCCGGUGUACUUCCUUUAGAUGGGGUCAACAUCAGUUUUGAUCGCUGGAAAAGGGCAGGAGGAAUGUAGCACUCUCGGGUGAACUUAUAGCCUUCUGUCGUAUACAGUGGUUGGGACUGAGGAACGCAGCAUGCCUUUAUGGCCGGGGUUCGCCCACGUACAUGCUUAGGAUGUUGACAUAAUGGCUUUAAACGACC
rnacentral:rRNA from 1 species